rnacentral:rRNA from 1 species
AUUGAACGCUGGCGGCAGGCCUAACACAUGCAAGUCGAGCGGACGAAGGGAGCUUUCUCCUGGAUUCAGCGGCGGACGGGUGAGUAAUGCCUAGGAAUCUGCCUGGUCGUGGGGGAUAACGUCCGGUAACGGGCGCUAAUACCGCACACGUCCUGAUGGUGAAAGGGGGGGAUCUUCGGACCUCACGCUAUUUGCUGAGCCUAGGUCGGAUUAGCUAGUUGGUGGGGUAAAGGCCUACCAAGGCGACGAUCCGUAACUGGUCUGAGAGGAUGAUCAGUCACACUGGAACUGAGACACGGUCCAGACUCCUACGGGAGGCAGCAGUGGGGAAUAUUGGACAAUGGGCGAAAGCCUGAUCCAGCCAUGCCGCGUGUGUGAAGAAGGUCUUCGGAUUGUAAAGCACUUUAAGUUGGGAGGAAGGGCAGUAAGUUAAUACCUUGCUGUUUUGACGUUACCAACAGAAUAAGCACCGGCUAACUUCGUG